UGGGGAAUUUUGGACAAUGGGCGAAAGCCUGAUCCAGCAAUGCCGCGUGUGUGAAGAAGGCCUUCGGGUUGUAAAGCACUUUUGUCCGGAAAGAAAUCCUUGGCUCUAAUACAGUCGGGGGAUGACGGUACCGGAAGAAUAAGCACCGGCUAACUACGUGCCAGCAGCCGCGGUAAUACGUAGGGUGCAAGCGUUAAUCGGAAUUACUGGGCGUAAAGCGUGCGCAGGCGGUUUGCUAAGACCGAUGUGAAAUCCCCGGGCUCAACCUGGGAACUGCAUUGGUGACUGGCAGGCUAGAGUAUGGCAGAGGGGGGUAGAAUUCCACGUGUAGCAGUGAAAUGCGUAGAGAUGUGGAGGAAUACCGAUGGCGAAGGCAGCCCCCUGGGCCAAUACUGACGCUCAUGCACGAAAGCGUGGGGAGCAAACAGGAUUAGAUACCCUGGUAGUCCACGCCCCUAAACGAUGUCAACUAGUUGUUGGGGAUUCAUUUCCUUAGUAACGUAGCCAACGCGUGAAGUUGACCGCCUGGGGAGUACGGUCGCAAGAUUAAAACUCAAAGGAAUUGACGGGGUCAUAGCUGUUUCCU
rnacentral:rRNA from 1 species